CAAGUACUCCCUUCGUCCGGAAAUACUUGUCCGAGGAAUGAAUGUAUCUAGAUGUAUUUUAGUUCUCGAUACAUCCAUUUCUAUCCAUUUUUGCGACAAGUAAUUCUGGACGGAGGGAGUAGUAG
rfam:Hordeum vulgare subsp. vulgare, WGS project CAJW01000000 data, contig: morex_contig_37427